rnacentral:rRNA from 1 species
UAAGGAAUAUUGCUCAAUGGGGGAAACCCUGAAGCAGCAACGCCGUGUGAGGGAUGAAGGGCUUUUGCUUGUAAACCUCUGUAGUGAGGGAAAAAACUUCCGCUCUGCGGAAUAUGAUGGUACCUCAAAAGUAAGCCCCGGCUAACUACGUGCCAGCAGCCGCGGUAAUACGUAGGGGGCAAACGUUGUCCGGAUUUACUGGGUGUAAAGGGUGCUCAGGCGGUUUUGUAAGUCAGAAGUGAAAUCCUAGGGCUUAACUCUGGAACUGCUUUUGAUACUGCAAGGCUUGAAUGUGGAAGAGGAGGAUGGAAUUUCUGGUGUAGCAGUGAAAUGCGUAGAUAUCAGAAAGAACACCAGUGGCGAAGGCGGUCCUCUGGUCCACUAUUGACGCUAAAGCACG